GAUCAGACGCCGAACAGACAGAGCUUCCCCUGUCCGCCCAAGACUCAGCACAUGUACAAUUCAAGCAAAGAGAAUACACAAGCGGAAACAUACAUAAUGGCUUACACGAGGUUAAACAAUAGCCGAAGUGAAAGAAUACUAAACUAUACAAGUAUAAAGGUUAACUUUAAACCCUUUACAAGCAUUCAAACUUUACAUUCACAAUUCUUUUACCAUAUACAUGCUUUUCAUCAUUUCUUUCUUUACAUCACAAUUUUAUCAAAAU
rnacentral:lncRNA from 1 species